UACAGAGGUCCCAAGCGUUGUUCGGAUUUACUGGGCGUAAAGAGUGUGUAGGCGGUGCUCUAAGUUCGGUGUGAAAUCUCCCGGCUCAACUGGGAGGGUGCGCCGGAAACUGGGGUGCUGGAGCGCGGGAGAGGAAAGCGGAAUUCCUGGUGUAGCGGUGAAAUGCGUAGAUAUCAGGAGGAACACCGGCGGUGUAGACGGCUUUCUGGACCGUAGCUGACGCUGAGACACGAAAGCGUGGGUAGCAAACAGG
rnacentral:rRNA from 1 species